GAUGAAGAACGUAGCGAAAUGCGAUAAGUAGUGUGAAUUGCAGAAUUCAGUGAAUCAUCGAAUCUUUGAACGCACAUUGCGCCCGCCAGCACUCUGGCGGGCAUGCCUGUUCGAGCGUCAUUUCAACCAUCAAACCCCAGGCUUGCGUUGGAGCCCUGCGGCUGCCGCAGCCUCCUAAAAGCAGUGGCGGGCUCGCUAUCACACCGAGUGCAGUAGAUUACUCUUCGCUCAGGGCGUGCAGCGGGUUCCGGCCGUGAAACCCCCUACUUUUAAAGGUUGACCUCGGAUCAGGUAGGAAUACCCGCUGAACUUAAGCAUAUCAAUAAGCGGAGGA
rnacentral:misc_RNA from 1 species